CGUACAAACGGCCAUGAAAAUCUCGACCAUACCUUCCCUCGGAAACGAAACGACGACGACACACAAGCAGCACCCGCUCAUGGACGAGGAGAAGAGCAGCUGGAAACCUGCUGGCGACCAGGCCUUUCAGGGACGUACAGUUCGAUCUUCGUACCACGUGGUCGUAACUGUCAUUGUCAGGAACGUGGCUCGAAUACGAAGCGUUCCGUCUUCUUUCGACGGCUGAUAAGAAUCUCUUUAAGCGAUUUCGGAGCGGCGUUAUUAGCGUUUCAUUGUAAUUACGAUUUCGUAUACUCUGCUUCAUUUUUCAGACGCGUCGAUAACAGGUCGAAGGGUAUCAAGGGCUUUUCCACGGGGUAUAGAGUUUCUCGUCGAUAGUACGCAUAAUAGCGAAUUGCAAAGAAGAAAGAGAUGACAGGGUCGUGAUAAAACGUUUGAUAGAUAAGAGCGGAUACGACGACGGUUGACGCUGAUAAGCCUCGUCGAAGAAAUGCUCGACGGUAUUACGCUUUAUUAGUGUACAGCGGAGACACACUUGUCCGCGAUAAAUUCGCACAAAGAGGGCCAAGAGUUGAAAUGUGGCCCGAAGUAGCGCAUCCACGUAGAGGAGCAAAGUUGAAGUUCGUACGGAAAUCAGGGACGUAGUUAGAGACAGAUGAACCAUCAGAAAUUGCGAAAAGAGACUCGCUCGUGACCGGAAUAGCAGUGAUUUGCAUACAAUUUCUGAAGCGUCGCGUUCACUUUUAUUGUACCUCGAGACUGUCGCAUCGUCGUCGACGUACGAUGAAUUUAAAUGAUGUCGUUUACCGCGUCCAAUGAUCGAAAGAUUGUAUGCCUCGAGAAUAUUACGUUAAUUCGUAUCGCGUCUGUGUUUCGCGCAAUUUAUUUGGAGUCGCGUGACAGCAAACAAUUAAGGAAAAACAUGUUGUCUCCGAGGAUUUGAUUGAAUUAUUCAAACGUUGUUGAAACGGCUUUUAAAGUGUCGUAAAGUAAAACGUAUGUCUUCUCGUUUCCUGUGAUACAGCUUCGUUUUUAUGUGGCAAGAAAAAGAUUUGAAAAAUAUGUUAUGAUUUUGAUACGAGAUUCAUAAAACACGCGUCGCGAGUUGAUCAAUUCUUAUCGCGCGGUCGUAAAGAAAAACUGGAUGACAUCUAGCGAAAGUUCAAUCAAAUUUAAUGACCGUCUCGUUUACAUGCCACUCAGAACUUUUAUCUCUUAUUGGUAACUUUUCUUUUUACGUGGCUCUAUUUUUUUAUAUAGUUUUUGCAAACGAUCUCGUCGAAAUUGAUCCACUCAGACUUUUCGUUCAACUUUUGAUGACCGAUGGUAAUUCUGUAUUCUCGGAGGGAUCUUCCUUUACGGAUUUAGUCAAAGUAGGGAUUCUCAAAGUUCCGUUUAUCGACUGAAGAAACUGUCGUCGCGGGACCAUGUCCAGCCGGAUUGAACACUUCCAGCGAGACUAAAUACUGUGUGUACGUUUCUAAAUUAUGUAUCUUGUGAUUCUGUAACAAGAAAAAGGGCGCACAAAUUUUAUCACGGAUUAAUAAAUAUGUCAUGUCGUACGGAGUAUGCCAGAAAUAAAGGUGGUAUUAAAACGUCUUAUGUAACUUACUUCAACGGCCGGAUUACGUAUGUAUAUGUGCUUUUCUUCCAUGUGGGGUUUUACUCGAGGCUUAUAACGGAUUCGAUAACCCAGAAAUUCGCCUUGAAUGGUGUCUGGACUGGGCGCCUUCCAUGCCAAAUAAAUGGACGAUGCUGAAGUGUUGUAAGCGCUGAUGUUACUUUCCUCGCUCGCUUUAUCAAAUAGAAAAACAAAAGUCACUGUUUCCGAUUGAUUGAUGUGUGACAAACAAAAUACAAGUGCGAAAAAAUAUGGAAACGAGCGGAUUAAUAGGAGAUACCAUCGAAAUUUCAUCUGUAUCAAGGAAAAAAGAAACAUAUUUCCAUUGAUUGUUUGACAAUCCGUUCGCAAUAAAUAUCGC